rnacentral:rRNA from 1 species
GUCCACGCCGUAAACGAUGAUUACUCGCUGUGGCGAUACACAGUCAGCGGCUAAGCAAAAGACAAUAAAGUAAUCCACCUGGGGAGGUACGGCCGCAAGGUUGAAACUCAAAGGAAUUGACGGGGGCCCCGGCACAAGCGGAGGAACAUGUGGUUUAAUUCGAUGAUACGCGAGGAACCUUACCUGGGCUUAAAUGUAGAGUGCAUUUUUUUAGAGAUAGAAAUUCCCUUCGGGGCUUUCUGCAAGGUGCUGCAUGGUUGUCGU